ensembl:lncRNA
AUGGCUUAGUCACAUAGCUUCCGCUGGAGUUAUUCAGCGCUCCAAACCUCCGGCGCUUGUUUUUUCUGGAACUGUUGUAUCACUCUGGCUGCAGAGUGAUAGUGACCUGCUCUUCCAGCAGCACACAGUGUGUAUAUGUGUGUGUGUGUGUGUAAGUAUUGCAACCAGACGGCCACAGCGAUGGCCCUGUCACUCAGUCCAGCUGUCCAUUCCUCCCUGCGGGUGCCGAGACUUGUGGCCACGUUUCCACAUUGCUACGGCCAUAUUGAAAGAGCAGAGAGCCAAAGUGUGGUGUGGCCAGUGUCACAAGCGAUGCUGGGAAAAAUGACUGAUCCUAUCCACAGAGAGGACCGAGACUGCCAGGCAUGCGCUUGGCGAAGAAAACUACAAGUCGAUUAAAAUAACUCAAAAGUCCACGCUGUCAGCCUGACCCUGGGGUGAGAAGGAAAGUGAGAGUGCGAGUUGGAGAGAGGUCAACCUUGCCAACACAUUCCUUUUUCAAACCCGUUGAUUGGAACACAUUCUCAAUACCUUCUCCAGGAGCAUGCUGAAGCACUUCUUCCAGUCCCCAUAGCAACCUUGGUCGUGCAAUGUGGAGCUUUCAGCGCUGUAGAGUAGACAAGCUGACCUCUCGUUAAUUGCGGAUAUGUUUGGAACACACUGCUCAAUGUUGUCUAUGGAUUUAUAGAGGACCGUGUGUGGUUAGUGGAAAUUGAGUAGGCUACCGACUUUCAUAGGUUUACCAAUUUUAGGACAUGCUAUCAGCUAAAAGACAUGGGUCACUCCAAAAUCCAAUAUAAACUCUAGAAGCAAUGAUCUUCCGACACACAGGAGAUGAGAAAUAUCAAUUGCUAAAGCACAUGCUAGUCUCUCAGCGACAGUACACAGUCUAUGGAAGGAUGUGUUCUAGACUUACUUCCUGAUUUUGUAAAGAGAAAAAAAAAAAACACACAACCUCCACACAGACUCUAGCACAUUGCAGACACACUCAUCACAAUUUCCUCACAUCUCUUUCAGUUUCACUUUGUGUGUACUGAGGUUGAACGCUCAUACUAUACUGAUGAGCAAAAAACAAGUGAAGAUAUGUUGAGGCAACAUCAAACCCUUUAACAAUUGCUUCUCUGAGGUCAUGGCUGAUAUCCUUUGUUCUUGGCAUGAUGUAGACACACACGUCUAGAACACCAAACUGCCAAAAGAUCUGCUUUUACAGACUUAAUCACAAUUAUUGAUGAUUAACUAAUCUUGUGCAUUUCAUUACUAACACCUGGCUGCUAACUCUCUUAAUGACUGUGAAAGUAGGAAGGGUUUCUCAAUGUUGGUUUACUUUUUUUUUUGGUGGGGGGGAUGACUACAUAUUGAAAUCUGAGGUUAUUUGUUUGUUCAUAAAUGUUAGCGAAGAGCACAAAAUUGUUAUUUAGGCCCUGAUGAAUAAAUAGAAUUGAAGGAGGGUGUAAUUUCCUUUUCCCAUGAAGAUCAAUUAUUGUGUGUGUGCAAGUGUGUGUGUGUUUUUCUGCUUUUUUUCCACUUAUUUGUUUUUGUUUCCUGGUUUUAUUUAUUUUUGUCAGUCGACAGGAUCAACUAUUAUCAGAAUGAUGUAUGAUCUUUAUGAGGUGUACUAAAUAUAGGGUUUUGCUGUUAUCUUGAACACACAGGGAUCUUAAACGGGACAUGAAGAACAUCUGGUGUUGAGUUUGGCUCAGAUCAUCAUCUAAGUGAUGGGCCGGCUUUAAGAAGAUCCACGAGUAAAUUAUCCCUACAACUGAUUACCAUGGUUCCUCAGACCAUGCAAAGACAGAAGACAAGGACGUUAGCCUCAGGGCCACGAAGAAUGAAAACAUUUGGCUGCGUUCCCAAUCGUGACCAGUUAGACAACUACUGAUCCACAUGUACCUGCCUAUCAUCUUAGCCUCCAAGCAUGGGUCUUGCUGACAGCACAGCAUCUGUGAGGCAGAGUGAAAAAGAAGCUGCUUCCGUUUUCCACGCGUCAGCGAUGUGGACUCUCCAUUUCUGGGUCUGUGAUAUCACGGAGCACAGGAAGUGACAUCACUUCCCUGUUCAUAGGGCUUUGUAAUUGUACCCAGACAACAGAUGACAGCUGAGCUGCGCUGUGCUGGAAAAUGGAUAUGACUGUGGUUAGAGGUUAGCCUCAUAACAGGGCUGCUUUAUUGGUCUCGACUCCUCUGGUUCUUACAGUGCUCACACAGACACAGACACAGACACACAAACAUACACACACACACACACACACACACACACACA